CUGUGCUAGGUUUAUCAGAAAUGUGGCAAGCUCAUUAAUUGGGAAUACUUUUCAAAUGAUCCUGGAGGAGUUCAUGAGCAAGUGGAAUUGAAUAGGCUGUCUGUCUUGGUUCUUAAAUGUACAAUAUAUAUAUAUAUAUUUACAUUGCCUCUAGUGAGGAAAUAAUUUAUGCAUAUAAUUUCUCUUGGAUAGACCUGUCCAUGAUUUUAUCUAAACAUUCCAGUCAUUGCCGCAAUUUCAUAAACUAAAUAGAAUAUAAUGUUCCAUAUUCCAGUGUAUAUAUUGAAUAUUCUUUUUUUUCCCCACAGCUUUUCUCCUGCAUCUAAUGCAGAGGACUGUGAUCCAUAAAAAUGUGUGCAUUGCUAUAAGAUGCCACGGAAUUCUUCAUUGUUCAUGCAUAGAUCUUUCCAAAUCUUAUCCCACUCAGUAUCGGUACCUUAAAUAUGAAGAAUCAGCUGUCUUUGGUAUUGGCUGUCUGCAUUUGAACACCAUCCCAGGAACCCUAUUCAGGCGGUCCCUGCUUCAAAAUGUCAUCUGCGGUGGCAACUCAGUUGCAAACAAGCAAGGUUGCUAGAAGCAUCUCUCCACUGCCCUCUCCAUUCCCAUCUACGCAGUUUAGCAGUUUGAACUGAACCAGAUAGUAUGUCAAGCGGGAAACAGAAAUUGAGAACGGUCAUAUGGAAGUUGUCAAGCGCCAUCUUGUGGUCAGAGAAAAAUCCUACAAAUGCUGCUUAAGUUGAUUUUAAUAUCAAACUAUAGACACUGACCCAAAAUGACUGCUGUGGCUGCCACAUUUUGUACCCUCCAUGCACUGAAUAAAACCUCAAUAUAUCAAUGC